rnacentral:lncRNA from 10 species
GUUUCACAGGUUUCUCUCCCUUCUGAGCAACGGCAGGUGAGUCAGGGUCGCUUGUGCUCCCCUCCAGCUCUGGGAUGUAUGCUGUCCAGCUGGUUACGAGUCUCCAUGGCAUCCGAGGAAAAGUGGAGCUGGCUGAAGGGAGGUGGAAAAGAAGGGCAACAAAUUCCAGUUUCUUGUGAAACUUUGUAAACGUAAGGCUCUUAUCUCAGUCUGCAGAGCAGAAACAGGGUGAGGGCCAUGGAUCUGAAUGUCUCCACCUGUGCAUAAAACAUAUGAUUAGAGCUGAAGACCUAGAAGUCCCUUCCCCAGGCAGGGCAUGAACUCUUCUGUUUCUAGAACCAUUUAGGGAGGUGACAACUUGGCUUCGUCCCAGAGAUUCAGCCGGCCCCUCCAGACGAUGGCCAUUCCUGUUGCCUUGGUCCGCAGGAACGAUGGGUUAUGCAUGAACUUUGUAGAACAUGGCCUUGUCUUCACCAACGCGGAGGAGAGCCCGUUCGGUUCCAGAGAGGAUGCUGCCUCAUCUCGUCUCUAAAAGAGGAGGAAGGGGAGCAGGUCCCUUCACGUUCUCUGGUCUCAGCUGAGAACUCUCCCUGGAAGUAGCGGGCCGUGAAAUGUUUCACAAGUGACACCAGUGAUGCUGUUAAACAAGGACAAUCCGGUUCAUGGAUUGUGACAACGCACGCUGACAUCAAGCAGACCCUGCCGUCAGCUGAGUGCCAUGAGAGGACAGUGACAACCUUGGGGCCUCAUGGUGAAGGUGGCAGAAACUUUGUUAGCCUGGGUGCUCAGGGUGGACAGCUGCUCUUGCCAACCGGGAACAUUUGCCUUGAGCUC